GGGAAGUUUCCCGAGCGGUCAAAGGGGCUUGACUGUAAAUCAAGUGGCUCUGCCUUCGCAGGUUCGAAUCCUGCACUUCCCA
rnacentral:tRNA from 1 species